rnacentral:rRNA from 1 species
UUCGCAAUGCCCGAAAGGGUGACGAUGCGACGCCGCGUGGGUGAGGAAGGCCUUCGGGUUGUAAAGCCCUGUCAGGAGUUAAGAAAUAUAAGUGUGUUAAUACCGCAUUUAUUUGACGAAGGCUCCAAAGGAAGCCACGGCUAACUCUGUGCCAGCAGCCGCGGUAAUACAGAGGUGGCAAGCGUUGUUCGGAAUUAUUGGGCGUAAAGAGCACGUAGGUGGGUUUGUAAGUCAGAUGUGAAAGCCUUCUGUUCAACGGGAGAAUUGCAUCUGAAACUGCAGGUCUUGAGUAUAGGAGGGGAGAAUGGAACUUCUGGUGGAGCGGUGAAAUGCGUAGAUAUCAGAAGGAACGCCGGCGGCGAAAGCGACUCUCUGGCCUAUAACUGACACUGAGUGUGCGAAAGCUAGGGGAGCAAACGGGAUUAGAUACCCCGGUAGUCCUAACUGUAAACGAUGGGCACUAAGUAGAGGGGUUUU